UAGGGAAUCUUCCGCAAUGGACGCAAGUCUGACGGAGCAACGCCGCGUGAGUGAAGAAGGAUUUCGGUUCGUAAAACUCUGUUGUUAGAGAAGAACAGCGCAUAGAGUAACUGUUAUGCGUGUGACGGUAUCUAACCAGAAAGCCACGGCUAACUACGUGCCAGCAGCCGCGGUAAUACGUAGGUGGCAAGCGUUGUCCGGAUUUAUUGGGCGUAAAGCGAGCGCAGGCGGUCAAUUAAGUCUGAUGUGAAAGCCCCCGGCUCAACCGGGGAGGGUCAUUGGAAACUGGUUGACUUGAGUGCAGAAGAGGAGAGUGGAAUUCCAUGUGUAGCGGUGAAAUGCGUAGAUAUAUGGAGGAACACCAGUGGCGAAGGCGACUCUCUGGUCUGCAACUGACGCUGAGGCUCGAAAGCGUGGGUAGCAAACAGG
rnacentral:rRNA from 1 species